rnacentral:rRNA from 1 species
CUACGGGCGGCUGCAGUGGGGAAUAUUGGACAAUGGGCGAAAGCCUGAUCCAGCAAUGCCGCGUGAGUGAUGAAGGCCUUAGGGUUGUAAAGCUCUUUUACCCGGGAUGAUAAUGACAGUACCGGGAGAAUAAGCUCCGGCUAACUCCGUGCCAGCAGCCGCGGUAAUACGGAGGGAGCUAGCGUUGUUCGGAAUUACUGGGCGUAAAGCGCACGUAGGCGGCUAUUCAAGUCAGGGGUGAAAUCCCGGGGCUCAACCCCGGAACUGCCUUUGAAACUGGAUGGCUAGAAUCCUGGAGAGGCGAGUGGAAUUCCGAGUGUAGAGGUGAAAUUCGUAGAUAUUCGGAAGAACACCAGUGGCGAAGGCGACUCGCUGGACAGGUAUUGACGCUGAGGUGCGAAAGCGUGGGGAGCAAACAGGAUUAGAUACCCUUGUAGUC